GGGUGACCUUGCUGUGACAUCUGUCCAGUCACUGAUGACCCAGGGUUCAUUCAGUGUCUCUGGCUGGCUAAGUGGUGUCCUUUUCCACAGGUGUGUCCUUCGCAGAGCUCCAGCUGGGUGCAAGAGGAUGACCUUUCUCAAUAUAAGAGAGCCCUCCUUUGGCCAGAGCCAUACAAAAAUGAACCUUCAAACAGGCUCAAAGAAAGAUAGUCAGUGCUAGAUAGUCUACAAGACUUGGCCUUUUCU
rnacentral:snRNA from 1 species